rfam:Mesorhizobium ciceri biovar biserrulae WSM1271, complete genome.
GCCGCUUUAGCUCAGUUGGUAGAGCACCGCAUUCGUAAUGCGGGGGUCGCGUGUUCGAGUCACGCAAGCGGCA